rnacentral:tRNA from 1 species
AGAGGGGUAGCUCAGAGAUAGAGUACUUGCCUAGCAUGCAAGAGGCCCUGGGUCUGAUCCCCUGCACAACUC